AGAGUUUGAUCCUGGCUCAGGACGAACGCUGGCGGUGCGCCUUAUGCAUGCAAGUCGAGCGAAGCUUUUCAGUAGUUUACUACAGAAAAUGACUGAGCGGCGAACGGGUGAGUAACGCGUGAGCAAUCUACCUUAGUUACAGGGAUAGCCCGAGGAAACUCGGAUUAAUACCUGAUAUUCUUUAUAUUUCGCAUGAAAUUAAAAGGAAAGGUCAGCCGAACUAAGAUGAGCUCGCGUUCUAUCAGCUAGUUGGUGAGGUAAAAGCUCACCAAGGCUACGACGGAUAGCUGGUCUGAGAGGACGAUCAGCCACACUGGGACUGAGACACGGCCCAGACUCCUACGGGAGGCUGCAGCAGGGAAUAUUGCGCAAUGAGCGAAAGCUUGACGCAGCGACACCGCGUGUGGGAUGACGGAUCUAGGUUUGUAAACCACUUUCAGGAGGGAAGAAAAUGACGGUACCUCCACAAGAAGCCCCGGCCAACUACGUGCCAGCAGCCGCGGUAAUACGUAGGGGGCGAGCGUUGUCCGGAUUUAUUGGGCGUAAAGAGCUCGUAGGCGGUUCAACAAGUCGGUCGUGAAAGUUCAGGGCUCAACCCUGAAAUGUCGAUCGAUACUGUUGUGACUAGGAUACGGUAGAGGUGAGUGGAAUUCCGAGUGUAGCGGUGAAAUGCGUAGAUAUUCGGAGGAACACCAAUUGCGAAGGCAGCUCACUGGGCCGCUAUCGACGCUGAGGAGCGAAAGCUAGGGGAGCAAACAGGAUUAGAUACCCUGGUAGUCCUAGCUGUAAACGAUGGAUACUAGACGUAGGAACUGGAUUGACGGUUUCUGUGUCGCAGCUAACGCGUUAAGUAUCCCGCCUGGGGAGUACGGUCGCAAGACUAAACUCAAAGGAAUUGACGGGACCCCGCACAAGCGGCGGGGCAUGCGGCUUAAUUCGAU
rnacentral:rRNA from 1 species